UAAUAAAAAAAUGGGGAUUUAACUUCUGGGUGGUGACUUCUGGAUAAUGGGUCUAAAAUGCCGAGCUGUCCUCCUGCCAAUGGGCUGGAUCUGUCAGUGAGAGGAGCCAUGGUAACAAGCAAUUUGUAAUUUUUGUUUAGAAGUCUGCUGCAAGUUGUAGGGUUCAAAUCAAGAAGGCUUUACAGUGUAAGAGAUUCAGAAGAAAAACAUAAUCGGGUUGUCAUUACAAUGCACAGACAGUAUUUGUUUCUCUAAGUGACGGAUCAAGAUAUCUCUGUAGUCUCCGCUUGUCCUUCCCAAGUAUUUUGAAUCUUUUCUGAUUCUGUAAGGAAGCUGUCCAGAGACUCCUGUGAGAGUUUGCUAACUUUUGGUGAAAGAUUUCCCAUCAUUAAGAAGGUAAUAGUGGGGAUGCCUGGGUGGCUCAGUUGGUUAAGCAGCUGCCUUCAGCUCAGGUCAUGAUCCCAGCGUCCUGGGAUCGAGUCCCACAUCGGGCUCCUUGCUCAGCAGGGAGCCUGCUUCUCCCUCUGCCUCUGCCUGCCAUUCUGUCUGCCUGUGCUAGCUCUUUCUCCCUCUCUCUCUCUGAUAAAUAAAUAAAAUCUUUAAAAAAAAAAAAAAAGAAGGUAAUAAUGGAGUCAAAUAGGGAAGCAGUAUCUUUGUGUAUACUGGGGACAGACCCUCACUGCUUGGACAGGCUGUGUCAGCUAGAUCUAGUUUCAGUAUCAGAGCUGACAAAGCUUCUCAUUCAGGACUCCUACUUUCUCCACCUGCCCUGGUCUACUAUGAAGGUGAAAUGAAAUUCAUAUGUGACCAAGGGUCUGGUCAGCUACAUCUUGUGAAACACCUGCUACAGAGAGGACUUGCUGUUCUCAGACCUCACGCCAGGCAGAGCAAAAGUAAGGGAAGUUGAUAAAACUAAUUUACCCACAAGCAGCAAAGCAAACAGAAUCAGACGUAACUUUCAAUAAAACCAGGAAGCCGUCCCAGCGAAGAGGUCCUUUAUCAUGGGAGGUAAGAGAAAGCAGAGGCAGCAGAACUUGACUGAUGCACAAGUACUACAACACUGCCACUGGCUGGCAUGCAGCAGUCCUGCUCAACAGCCACCCACCUCUUCCUCUCCUUCUGAAAGCGCAACAGCCGGAAAGGAGGCAAUCAUGAGAAGCAGAGCUAAGGGUCGGCCUCUGUUCCCUAUCUCUGUGGCACUUGGUAUUCUACAACCUCCCUGUGAGACGCGAUAACCCCAUCUGACAAGUGAGGAAACAGACUCAGCAAGAUCAGACUUGACUAAUGUCACAUAGAGACCUGUAUCCACUACACCAUUGGGGAAAGGGUGGAAAAAACCCUGCUUCACAAAAGCUGGACGUGUUUCUGAGCCAGAAACCUAGAGCCAGGUUUCUGGGCUCUAGGGCGUCAUUUCAACAUGAAGUGAAGGAUCAGGCCUUCCCUUAGAGCUGGUGAGGCCAGAACAGUUGAACCAGUGCUUGCAGAGUCUCUCCUCCUGCAGGGACGGGUUGCUUGCCGGCCCUGAAGCAGGUUAGCUACAGUGCAGCAGUCCUAGGACACUGGUUGAGAAGAGCCCAGCAGCCUCUCAAAAUGCUCCCCUUCAACCUUCAGGGCCAAGGCUAGCAUUAGGAGGAGGCAGAACAGAUGACAUUCUCAAACGAGGGUAUAGGACAGGGUUGCUGCCCUUCUGUCCCUAACUCUCACUUUUACAGUUGACAAGGCCCAAGACAUUACAAAAAAUAGAAGACAAGAAGAGACAAGAAGAGAAAAUAGAUGGGCACCCAGGUGGCUCAGCUGGUUAAGCAUCUGCCUUUGCCUGGGAUUAUGAUCCCAGUGUCCUGGGAUUCAGCCCCAUGUUGGGCUCCUUGCUUGGCAGGGAGCCUGCUUCUCCUUCUGCCUCUGCCUGCUGCUCCCCCUGCUUGUGCUCUCUCUCUCAGUCAAAUAAAUAAAAUCUUAAAAAAAAAAAGUAAAGAAAAUAGAAGCUUCCAUCAAAUGGGAAACACUACCAAAUUUCUAAUCCUACUUGCUUUAGCACCGAUAUUCUUUUUUUUUUUUUUUUUAAAGAUUUUAUUUAUCAGAGAGAGGGAAGAGAGCGAGCACAGGCAGACAGAACGGCAGGCAGAGGUAGAGGGAGAAGCAGGAUCCCUGCUGAGCAAGGAGCCCGAUGUGGGACUCAAUCCCAGAACGCUGGGAUCAUGACCUGAGCCGAAGGCAGCUGCUUAACCAACUGAGCCACCCAGGCGUCCCAGCACCGAUAUUCUUGAUCUUCUCCAUCUUUCUUCAUGCUUCAAGGUGUUUUCUUUUUCCUCUCAAAAGGCUACCUCCACCUGUGCUCUGCAUCCCAUGCCCUCUCUGACUCAAGGACCAUCCUUUCUCUUCUUCUCCUGCAUCUUCCCAUUCUUUUAUGGGACCACUGCAUUCACAUAAAGAAAGCUGUAGCCAUUCCCAUAUUAAAUAAAACCAAACCCCAAAACCUUCCCUUUACCUCACAUGCUACUCUAGCCACUACCCUAUUUCCCUGCUUCACAGUCACAGCCAGAUUUAUGGAAGGAGUUGGUAUCCCCAUUUUGGCACCAUUCAAUCACUCUUAAAAUGUUAAUUACAUACAGUUUUGUGAUUUCAUUGUGUUAAACACCAAAGAAACUAUGUGAUAUAUGUAAAUUAUAAAGCAUUAUAAAAAUGAACAUCUGUGAAUCCACAACCCAGUCUGACUGUGAAAAUAAAGGAAACCUCAUUUAAAAUGGAGUCAGAAAGCCCUGAAGGGAGAGCUCUCACACACUAGCUCUGAUGGUAAGAAGCAGACCUAGCUUUCGUCAACAGAAAGAAGCUUACUUAUUUCCAUACCCCAACAGGAAAAAAGAAGAAUUCCUCCUUGCCCAGCAACAACGUAGACAAGGUGAACUCAGCAGAAAAGUCCCUCCCAGGUUCCUCCCUUCACCUUGUAAAAGUAAGCCCUUCUCCUCUGUUCUGCAGACUUGCCUGUUUUGAUAUAGUUUGCUGGUCCCCAAACUGCAAUUCCUCUGCUAUUCCAGAAUAAACUGGUAAAAUAACCCGUUUUGUUUUGUUUUUUUUCCCCCAGCUUAGCAGAAUCAACCUAAGAACUCAAACACUGCUAAUAUUGUUGUAUAGACCUGUGUUCUUCCUCCCCUAUCCUACCCUUGCCUCCACAAUCAUGAACAUUGUGGUCAAAUAUUAAAAAGGUCACAUUACCAUUCUGGGCAACAGAAAGAAUGAUGCCUGCUUCUCAUCAGAAACAAUAUCAAAGACCGAUAAUUCCCUUGGGAGCUGGUAUAUCAUGAAGGCAGAAACAGAAAAGCAAGAACAGCAUUUCUGCGUGGUAGGAAACACAACAGCUCGGAGUGGCUCAUAGACUCCCUUCCUAUGGGUGUGACUCAUUUGACAUUUCAUCCACUUUGCUGGGAGGGGAAGAGAGAAAAGGAACUAACAGUGUCUACUUUUUCCCUCUAGAAAAUUCUUGCCAUCAUUCUAUUAGGUAAGAAUUAUUUUAGCAUGAUGGUACAUAAAAGUAAACAGAAACUCAGAAAGGUCAUGUUCAAGAUUCCUUAAUUACUUAGUAGCAGCUUCAGUGUUUGACCUCAUGGGUGUCUCCCUCAAAAGCUUGUGCCUGGUACCUGGAUAGAGGCUGGUGACUCCAGCAUAAAUGCUGGUGAGUAUGUAUGGGACAUGCAAGAGGAAGGAGAUGAGCUGGAGAGUACAAACCAGAGCAGAAAUAAAGCCUACAAAAUGCAGAGCUCCUGAGUAGGGGCAGGCAUCUUUCCUUCUCCAAGAAAGGAUUUACAAAUUUGAUGAGAACUGAGAUGUGUGAGAACUUAGACUGAUCUGUCUACUAAAAAAAUCAGAUGUCCUGAAAAUGGUGCUAGGGAAGUUGAGGGAGAGAGGAGGAGGGAAAACUAGUAAAAGGAUCAGAUAUCUGAUGGCUUCUCUUUAGGAUAUACCCUAGGGUCUCAAGAUGCUUCUGGAUGGACUCCAUUGGUCAUCAAAGUAGGUCCUGGAAAAGCAUUAAAAAUAUUUAAGUGAAGGGGUGCCUUCAUGGCUCAGUGGGUUAAAGCCUCUGCCUUUGGCUCAGGUCAUGAUCCCAGAGUCCUGGGAUCAAGCCCCACAUUGGGCUCUCUGCUCUUCGGGGAGCCUGCUUCUUCCUCUCUCUCUCUGCCUGCCCUUCUGCCUACUUGUGAUCUCUGUCAAAUAAACAAAUAACAUAA